rfam:Nicotiana sylvestris Nsyl_contig63446, whole genome shotgun sequence.
AUUUUUGGUUCCGGAGAGAGCUCAUAUCGACGGGAAAGUUUGGCACCUCAAUGUCCGCUCUUUACCACCUAGCACUAUAUUAUGGUCCAAGGGUUGGGUUGUUCGCCCGUAAAAGCGAUACAUGAGUUGUGUUCCCAACGUCGUGAAACAAUUC